rnacentral:rRNA from 1 species
CAAACUUGGUCAUUUAGAGGAAGUAAAAGUCGUAACAAGGUCUCCGUUGGUGAACCAGCGGAGGGAUCAUUACCGAGUUUACAACUCCCAAACCCCUGUGAACAUACCACUUGUUGCCUCGGCGGAUCAGCCCGCUCCCGGUAAAACGGGACGGCCCGCCAGAGGACCCCUAAACUCUGUUUCUAUAUGUAACUUCUGAGUAAAACCAUAAAUAAAUCAAAACUUUCAACAACGGAUCUCUUGGUUCUGGCAUCGAUGAAGAACGCAGCAAAAUGCGAUAAGUAAUGUGAAUUGCAGAAUUCAGUGAAUCAUCGAAUCUUUGAACGCACAUUGCGCCCGCCAGUAUUCUGGCGGGCAUGCCUGUUCGAGCGUCAUUUCAACCCUCAAGCACAGCUUGGUGUUGGGACUCGCGUUAAUUCGCGUUCCCCAAAUUGAUUGGCGGUCACGUCGAGCUUCCAUAGCGUAGUAGUAAAACCCUCGUUACUGGUAAUCGUCGCGGCCACGCCGUUAAACCCCAACUUCUGAAUGUUGACCUCGGAUCAGGUAGGAAUACCCGCUGAACUUAAGCAUAUCAAUAAGCGGAGG